rnacentral:rRNA from 1 species
ACAGCAGCAGCCGCGGUAAUACGGAGGGUGCAAGCGUUAAUCGGAAUUACUGGGCGUAAAGCGUGCGUAGGCGGUUCGUUAAGUCUGUUGUGAAAGCCCCGGGCUCAACCUGGGAAUGGCAAUGGAUACUGGCGAGCUAGAGUGUGUCAGAGGAUGGUGGAAUUCCCGGUGUAGCGGUGAAAUGCGUAGAGAUCGGGAGGAACAUCAGUGGCGAAGGCGGCCAUCUGGGACAACACUGACGCUGAGGCACGAAAGCGUGGGGAGCAAACAGGAUUAGAUACCCCUGUAGUCCCUGUCUCUUAUAC